UACGGAGGAUCCAAGCGUUAUCCGGAAUCAUUGGGUUUAAAAGGGUCCGUAGGCGGUUUAGUAAGUCAGUGGUGAAGGCCCAUCGCUCAACGGUGGAACGGCCAUUGAUACUGCUGAACUUGAAUUAUUAGGAAGUAACUAGAAUAUGUAGUGUAGCGGUGAAAUGCUUAGAUAUUACAUGGAAUACCAAUUGCGAAGGCAGGUUACUACUAAUGGAUUGACGCUGAUGGACGAAAGCGUGGGGAGCGAACAGG
rnacentral:rRNA from 1 species